rnacentral:pre_miRNA from 1 species
AAAGUACUCCCUCCGUCCCAAAAUUCUUGUCUUAGAUUUGUCUAGAUAUGGAUGUAUCAAGUCACAUUUUAGUAUUAGAUACAUCCGUAUCUAGACAGAUCUAAGACAAGAAAUUUGGGACAGAGGGAGUAGUUG